rnacentral:rRNA from 1 species
GUUAAGCGACUAAGCGUACACGGUGGAUGCCCUGGCAGUCAGAGGCGAUGAAGGACGUGCUAAUCUGCGAUAAGCGUCGGUGAGGUGAUAUGAACCGUUAUAACCGGCGAUUUCCGAAUGGGGAAACCCAGUGUGUUUCGACACACUAUCAUUAACUGAAUCCAUAGGUUAAUGAGGCGAACCGGGGGAACUGAAACAUCUAAGUACCCCGAGGAAAAGAAAUCAACCGAGAUUCCCCCAGUAGCGGCGAGCGAACGGGGAGGAGCCCAGAGCCUGAAUCAGUGUGUGUGUUAGUGGAAGCGUCUGGAAAGGCGCGCGAUACAGGGUGACAGCCCCGUACACAAAAAUGCACAUAUUGUGAGCUCGAUGAGUAGGGCGGGACACGUGGUAUCCUGUCUGAAUAUGGGGGGACCAUCCUCCAAGGCUAAAUACUCCUGACUGACCGAUAGUGAACCAGUACCGUGAGGGAAAGGCGAAAAGAACCCCGGCGAGGGGAGUGAAAAAGAACCUGAAACCGUGUACGUACAAGCAGUGGGAGCCUCUUUAUGGGGUGACUGCGUACCUUUUGUAUAAUGGGUCAGCGACUUAUAUUCUGUAGCAAGGUUAACCGAAUAGGGGAGCCGAAGGGAAACCGAGUCUUAACUGGGCGUUAAGUUGCAGGGUAUAGACCCGAAACCCGGUGAUCUAGCCAUGGGCAGGUUGAAGGUUGGGUAACACUAACUGGAGGACCGAACCGACUAAUGUUGAAAAAUUAGCGGAUGACUUGUGGCUGGGGGUGAAAGGCCAAUCAAACCGGGAGAUAGCUGGUUCUCCCCGAAAGCUAUUUAGGUAGCGCCUCGUGAAUUCAUCUCCGGGGGUAGAGCACUGUUUCGGCAAGGGGGUCAUCCCGACUUACCAACCCGAUGCAAACUGCGAAUACCGGAGAAUGUUAUCACGGGAGACACACGGCGGGUGCUAACGUCCGUCGUGAAGAGGGAAACAACCCAGACCGCCAGCUAAGGUCCCAAAGUCAUGGUUAAGUGGGAAACGAUGUGGGAAGGCCCAGACAGCCAGGAUGUUGGCUUAGAAGCAGCCAUCAUUUAAAGAAAGCGUAAUAGCUCACUGGUCGAGUCGGCCUGCGCGGAAGAUGUAACGGGGCUAAACCAUGCACCGAAGCUGCGGCAGCGACACUAUGUGUUGUUGGGUAGGGGAGCGUUCUGUAAGCCUGUGAAGGUGGCCUGUGAGGGUUGCUGGAGGUAUCAGAAGUGCGAAUGCUGACAUAAGUAACGAUAAAGCGGGUGAAAAGCCCGCUCGCCGGAAGACCAAGGGUUCCUGUCCAACGUUAAUCGGGGCAGGGUGAGUCGACCCCUAAGGCGAGGCCGAAAGGCGUAGUCGAUGGGAAACAGGUUAAUAUUCCUGUACUUGGUGUUACUGCGAAGGGGGGACGGAGAAGGCUAUGUUGGCCGGGCGACGGUUGUCCCGGUUUAAGCGUGUAGGCUGGUUUUCCAGGCAAAUCCGGAAAACCAAGGCUGAGGCGUGAUGACGAGGCACUACGGUGCUGAAGCGACAAAUGCCCUGCUUCCAGGAAAAGCCUCUAAGCAUCAGGUAACAUCAAAUCGUACCCCAAACCGACACAGGUGGUCAGGUAGAGAAUACCAAGGCGCUUGAGAGAACUCGGGUGAAGGAACUAGGCAAAAUGGUGCCGUAACUUCGGGAGAAGGCACGCUGAUAUGUAGGUGAAGCGACUUGCUCGUGGAGCUGAAAUCAGUCGAAGAUACCAGCUGGCUGCAACUGUUUAUUAAAAACACAGCACUGUGCAAACACGAAAGUGGACGUAUACGGUGUGACGCCUGCCCGGUGCCGGAAGGUUAAUUGAUGGGGUUAGCGGUAA